CAGUGUCUUGAAGUGUAAAGCAGUGAACAGAAAGCUUCUGACAUCUACAAGCCAACUGAUAGCAGGCGUGAAAGCUGCUCUCUGGACCUCUGUGCUGUUCAAGGUAAAAGGUGGGGAAGAGCUGGUGUUAGGGAGACUGCAUCCUCCGAGUUGAGGGCAGAGGCUUUUGUUUAAUCAAAGAGAAUUUAGGAAUUUGGUUCUUCAGAAAUCUGGCUGUUUUGUUUGUUCAGGGAUGAUUUGAGCAUUGGAGUAAUCUUGAAAUUUAUGGAACGCAUUCUUAUGUCCCCUCUCUGAGAAUCCUGGGGUCAGAUGCUGCAGAGGAAAGUACC
rnacentral:lncRNA from 1 species